GCGGUCGUAGCUCAGCUGGAUAGAGCGUUGGACUCCGACUCCAAAGGCCAGAGGUUCGAAUCCCCCCGGCCGCACCA
rnacentral:tRNA from 17 species